rnacentral:rRNA from 1 species
UAACGCGAAGAACCUUACCAGGUCUUGACAUCUUUUGCUAACCUAAGAGAUUAGGCGUUCCCUUCGGGGACGGAAUGACAGGUGGUGCAUGGUUGUCGUCAGCUCGUGUCGUGAGAUGUUGGGUUAAGUCCCGCAACGAGCGCAACCCUUAUUGUCAGUUGCCAGCAUUUAGUUGGGCACUCUGGCGAGACUGCCGGUGACAAACCGGAGGAAGGUGGGGAUGACGUCAAAUCAUCAUGCCCCUUAUGACCUGGGCUACACACGUGCUACAAUGGACGGUACAACGAGUCGCGAAACCGCGAGGUCCAAGCUAAUCUCUUAAAGCCGUUCUCAGUUCGGAUUGUAGGCUGCAACUCGCCUACAUGAAGUUGGAAUCGCUAGUAAUCGUGGAUCAGC